UACGUAGGGUGCAAGCGUUGUCCGGAAUUAUUGGGCGUAAAGAGCUCGUAGGCGGUUUGUCGCGUCUGCUGUGAAAACCCGAGGCUCAACCUCGGGCCUGCAGUGGGUACGGGCAGACUAGAGUGCGGUAGGGGAGAUUGGAAUUCCUGGUGUAGCGGUGGAAUGCGCAGAUAUCAGGAGGAACACCAAUGGCGAAGGCAGAUCUCUGGACCGGCAUUGACGCUGAGGUGCGAAAGCGUGGGGAGCAAACAGG
rnacentral:rRNA from 1 species